CUACGGGGGGCACCAGUGGGGAAUAUUGGGCAAUGGGCGAAAGCCUGACCCAGCAACGCCGCGUGAAGGAAGAAGGUUUUCGGAUCGUAAACUUCUAUCCCAGGUGAAGAUAAUGACGGUAGCCUGGAAGGAAGCCCCGGCUAACUACGUGCCAGCAGCCGCGGUAAUACGUAGGGGGCAAGCGUUGUCCGGAAUGAUCGGGCGUAAAGGGCGCGUAGGCGGCCUUCUAAGUCCGAUGUGAAAGUCCCGCUUUUAAGGUGGGAAUUGCAUUGGAAACUGGAGGGCUUGAGUGCAGGAGAGGUAAGUGGAAUUCCCGGUGUAGCGGUGAAAUGCGUAGAGAUCGGGAGGAAUACCAGUGGCGAAGGCGACUUACUGGACUGUAACUGACGCUGAGGCGCGAAAGUGUGGGGAGCAAACAGGAUUAGAUACCCCUGUAGUC
rnacentral:rRNA from 1 species